rnacentral:rRNA from 1 species
UACGUAGGGGGCGAGCGUUUGUCCGGAAUCAUUGGGCGUAAAGCGCGUGUAGGCGGCUUGGUAAGUCCGGUGUGAAACCUUGGGGCUCAACCCCAAGCCUGCACUGGAUACUGCCUCGCUUGAGUCCGGGAGGGGAGAGCGGAAUUCCUAGUGUAGCGGUGAAAUGCGCAGAUAUUAGGAAGAACACCGGUGGCGAAGGCGGCUCUCUGGAACGGUACUGACGCUGAGACGCGAAAGCCAGGGGAGCAAACGGG